GACGAACGCUGGCGGCGUGCUUAACACAUGCAAGUCGAACGGUAAACGACGGCGCUUGCUCCCUCCGCAUCUGGGGCGAACGGGUGAAUCACACGUGUGCACUCUCCUUCGAAUUCUGGUAUAUGCAUUGGACACGGGGUCUAAUACGGUAUACGACCCUGCUGCGUAGUCUCUCCGGGUGGAAAUCACGUCGGUUCGGGAUGCGCUCGCGGCCUAUCAGCUUGUUGGUAAGGUAACGGCUCACCAAGGCUGCGACGGGUAGCCGGCCUGAGAGGGUGACCGGCCACACUGGGACUGAGACACGGCCCAGACUCCUACGGGAGGCAGCAGUGGGGAAUAUUGCACAAUGGGCGGAAGCCUGAUGCAGCAAUGCCGCGUGAGGGACGACGGCCUUCGGGUUGUAAACCUCUUUUAGCAGGGAAGAAGCGAAAGUGACGGUACCUGCAGAAAAAGCACCGGCUAACUACGUG
rnacentral:rRNA from 1 species